rnacentral:lncRNA from 1 species
UCAUAGCACAUGGCAAGAUCUUACUCCUUUCAUGUCUCCAUCUGCAGCCAGAGAAGGUCUUGUGUAGUGCUGAGGUGUUUGGGACAGUUGUAUAAAAAAGGACUGUACGUAGUUUACAUUCCCAUCUGAUACGUGAAGAAUAUGUUUUUUUGUCAAGGGCUCCUAAAGCUAUUAAACCUUACAGGUAAGUCAUGCAGAUACCCUUACUAAAACCAACACGGCUAUAGGAUUUGGCUAGAACUUGUUUUCAAGAGCACUUAUGUUAUUUA